rnacentral:tRNA from 1 species
GUCUCUGUGGCGCAAGCGGUUAGCGCGUUCGGCUGUUAACUGAAAGGUUGGUGGUUCAAGCCCACCCAGGGACG